CACUCCGCCCCGCCUCCGCUCGCCUCUCCGCCAAUCACAGCUGGAGGAACCCAGACUGGAGGCGGAGUCAGAUUUCUGCUGAUAUUACCACAGCAGGUCACGGGGGUAAAAACCAAAAGGCUGUUGCGUGGUCCUAAGAUACACAUCACGAUUAUAUCGCUAGCGACACUACCGUUGUCUGCCGCGAGGUGCCGCUGUGCGUAUUCGCUGUGGACGUUUCCAUGGAGACGUUCGUCGGCAUGAAGUGGCGAGGAAAGAGCAGUGCGCGCGGAAUGACGUAAUGUGAUGGAUUGAAGCCGCUGUAGCGCCGGUGCCGCGUGCUCUCACUGCUGCUCCGCUCCGCAUCCCUCAGCGGACUCUCUGCGCUCUUGUUUGGACGACCAAUCGUGGCGCAAAAGUCCCAUCUCUGGAUCUGUGCUUUUUGAGGAUUUUACAAGACCCGACUGUGAUGUAAAGCUGCAAGAACAUGCCGCUGUGUCAUAUGCACGUUUUCAGAUCAUCAGGAAAAUGACUUUGUGAAUGCAGAAAUGUGUAAUUAUGAAGUUGGGGUCGCUGGUCACAGGGGCCCUUCCCCCCUUCGCGAUGCCUGUCACAGAGCAGCCGUGCUGGGCUUCAUCUGAAGGGAUGCACCAUGGUGUGAUCACACGUCUGUCCUACCCCAGACUCAAUGAAUCGCACGAAUGAAUGGACAUUACUGUGGCAAAGGGAAUUAGCUCGGUUGCAUAGGGACUUUGGAUUUGGGAAUACUGGAGCCAGUCGGAGAGCGUUGGCUGGUUUUUAUUUGAAGAAGUGCAGUGGAUACUUCAAGGAGUGUUUUUGGAAGAUGUCUGAGAAGGGAGCCGAGGCAUCUACAUCUCAGCCCCCAAAGCGGAAGCAGGUGAUUCAUGGUCUGGAAGAUCAGAAAAAGGUUCAUCUUUUGCUUGUUUUAUCAACCACUGAAACCUACCGACUUGCUGACCGCUGAAGAACCUGAGCUCUUUUCUUAAGGGAUGCUUAGUUACUAACACAAACAGCCAGUUCUCAGAAGAAUGUUUUAUUCUUUUCACCAUUUCUGCCCUGUUGAUUCAUAACCUGACCCUUUCAAAAGCCAACAUGAAAAACUGUGGUCUUUUGUUAAUGUUUGCAUAAAAAGCGCAGAUUUGAUAUGUUGAAUUGGU